rnacentral:rRNA from 1 species
CCUACGGGUGGCAGCAGUGGGGAAUAUUGCACAAUGGGGGGAACCCUGAUGCAGCGACGCCGCGUGAGCGAGGAAGUAUUUCGGUAUGUAAAGCUCUAUCAGCAGGGACGAAAAAAGACGGUACCUGACUAAGAAGCCCCGGCUAACUACGUGCCAGCAGCCGCGGUAAUACGUUGGGGGCAAGCGGUAUCCGGAUUUACUGGGUGUAAAGGGAGCGUAGACGGGAAGGCAAGCCAGAAGUGAAAGGGCAGGGAUCAACACUGUACAUGCUUUUGGAACUGGGGUGCCAGAGUGCAGGAGAGGUAAGUGGAAUUCCUAGUGUAGCGGUGAAAUGCGUAGAUAUUAGGAAGAACACCAGUGGCGAAGGCGGCUGACUGGACUGUAACUGACGUUGAGGCUCGAAAGCGUGGGGAGCAAACAGGAUUAGAUACCCCUGUAGUC